GUUUCUCCACAUCCUUUUUUUUUUUUUUUUGUCUUUUUGUCUAUUUUUUUAGGGCUGUACCUGCGGCAUAUGGAGGUUCCCAGGCUAGGGGUCUAAUCAGAGCUACAGCUGCCGGCUAUGCCAGAGCCACAGCAACGCCAGAUCUGAGCCGUGUCUGCAACUUACACUUCAGCUCACGGCAACGCCACCACAUCCUUAACCCGCUGAGCAAGGCCAGGGAUCAAACCUGAAACCUCAUGGUUCCGAGUCACUUCACAUGAUGGGAACUUCUCCACAUCCUUGAUAACACUUUUUUUUUGAUUAUAGCCAUUCUGGGGUGUGUGAACUGAUCUUUUCACAGUUCUGAUUUGCCUUUCCCUAAUGGUGUUUAGCAUCUUUUCUUGUAUUUAUUGGUCCUUUGCUAUCUUCUUGGAGCCUUUUGAUCUUUUAAGAACACAAAUUUGAUCCUGGGUAAAGCCCCACCUCUGGUGGCAAACAUUCUUCCAUUCUUUGCCUUUUCAUUUCUUACUUACUAAUGUUUUGGGCUUCAGUUUCGAUGCAAUUUCCUUCAGGAAGCCUUUUCUGACCCCCAUUAUUAGCACUCAGCCCAUCAUGGUGUGACUGUUUAUCUGUACUUCCUUUCCCAGCCAGACAAUUGGCUCCAUCAGCAGGGAUUGUGUCUGGCACAUGGUUGGCUGAAGGACUGAAUAUAUGGAUGAGUGUAGGUUUAAACAAAAAAACCUUAAAGUGUGAGUUCCCUGGUGGCUCAGCAGGUUAAGGAUCCAGCAUUGCCAGUGCUAUGGCUCCGGGCCCCGCUGUGGUGCUGGUCCAGUCCCUGGCCUGCAACUUUUGACUGCUGCAGGCGCGUGGCCAAAACAAAACAAGACUUAGAGGUUCUUUUUUUUUUUUUUUUUUUGGUCUUUUUAGGGUCUCACUGUUGGCAUACGGAGGUUUCUAGGCUAGGAAUCCAGUCGGAGCUAUAGCUGCCAGCCUACGCCACAGCCACAGCAAUGCCAGAUCCGAGCCUCGUCUGUGACCUACACCAUAGCUCACGGCCACGCCGGAUCCUUAACCCACUGAGCGAGGCCAGGGAUUGAACCUGCAACCUCAUGGUUCCUAGUCGGAGUAGUUUCUGCUGCGCCACAGUGGGAACGCCCCUUUUUUCUUUGUUUUUUAAAUUCUGUCUUGGAAUCAUUAUUGCAUGGUUUUUGUGUGUGCUUUGUCUCCCUUCAUGCUUGUAGAGGUGCUGUGAGAUAGCGUUGUAUAGAAGCAGCGGUGCAUGGCUGUUGCUCUGCGUAGAUGGAGGCCGGGCAAGACCUGUGUGCUCUCUGUUCCACAAUGGCUGCUUCCUGCCUGCCUGUCCCGGGGCAGAGUGGGGGGUGUGUGUGUGGGUAAGUGGGUGCUCUGUGAUCUGGAGGAGGCAGAGAUAAGGGAAAGGGACAAUGGAGAAUAAGAAGCUUGGGGCUCUGAGGAGCUGCGGCCUAGGACGGGUGCGCUGCGGCAGGUGGCUGAGGUCUGGCCUUGAGUGAACUUUUUGCAUCGGAACAAAUAUAUUUGGUCAACUAAGCCCUAGUUCUGCCUUUAAUUCUUGAAUUAGAGGUCAGGCAUUCAUUUUUAAUAGUGUAUGGAAAUUCUGAUAAUGGGAAUAGAUUUCUUUCCUUUUAGUUUUCAAGAAGGAACUGAAAAACUGGAUUACACCCUGAUACUUCUGUAGGGUUGUACAAAAUAAGACAGAAUCUGGAUUCAUUUUGUGAUGGUGACUUUACCGAGGUAGAUAUUAUUAUUCUCCAUCAGAAUAUCUAGAAAUACUCUUCCAUUCUCAUUUUUGUCCUCUUAAACUGCUGGAGUGUGCAGAUAAGACAUUUCACAGGAUUGAGAUUUCCUUUGCUCACUUUGCUAAGCCCUGUGUUCUCUGGCUCUUGCAUGCCUGAUUUUUGCUGAUUGCAGGGUCUUAAUAAUGUUUUAAAUUUUCUUCUUUGUCCAAGGGUAUAACUUUACUGUGGAGGGCAAAAUCAUGAUUCUCCAUGGUCUAGGGCUUUUAGGCACUUCUAAACUCCUAAUUUUCAUUUAUGUGGCUUAGUUUCUCCAUUAGACCAUACCAUUAGGGAGUUGUCAUACAGGAGAAAAAGGCGGCUUGACCUUACGGCAGAAACAUCUAAAUGUUUGACAGAUAAAUUUUUUUGGAAAGAAAGUGUGUUUUAGAUAGAGCAUCUAAGCUUUCAGUGCAUUGUAGGGAGAAAGUCCUCUUGAGGCUUCACCCAGUGGUACCAAAGCUGAGACCUCAUGGAGGGUGGCUCUAGGCUCAGUGAAGAGUAGAUUAGAUAAUUGCUUUUGCCCAGUCAACUCAGGCUUUUUUCUGUCUUUGAAUAAAAUAAGCACCAUUCCCUGACUGCUCUAGGAACCAAAUAAAACUUUCAAAAGAGCUGGUUUAGUAGAAAUAAUGUUUACUUUUCAUAGAUUUGUGUGUAUGUUUUUUAAAAAUUCAGUAAAUGGACACAAGACCGUUUGCUAAAAAGCUUGUAUCCAGAAAGGUGAUUUAGAAUUUUUUGUUCAUUUAUCAAAUACCUGAGUACCUCCCCUGUGUCCUGUGUUCUCACCAGACUCUAUGGGAGACUUGCAGAUGCAUCAUCGGAUGUUGACCCUGGUGACGUGGAGCUUGUCCCUCAGUGGGGAGGCAGAUGCUUGGGGCAGGAGGUCAGGUGCGAUCCAGUGUGGAGGAGAGAGCAGUGACCUCUCUCUGAAGGGGAGGGAAUUAGACAGGGUUGCAUGGAGAAGGAGGCAUUCGAUCUGAAUAUUGAAGUAAAGUCGUUUGGUGGGAAAUGAGCUUUUUCCGUAGGUUUUCUAGCACAGGAGUUACGUGGUUACAGUUGUGCUUUAAGAAAACUAUUUCUGGGAUGUGAUCAAAGAUAGAGACCAGAGACUGAGAGGAACCAAUGCAAAACUAACCUUUCUAAGUGGUAGUGGAAACAGAGGUAGAGUUCAUUGAACUUGGCAGUUGGAGCAAUGCAUGGUAUCAAAUGAGGUUUUGUUUUUUUUUUUUUAAGCCUCAAUAGGUAAUUAGGAGUAUGGCAAUGCCAUUAAAAUUUGGAAACACAGGAGGAGAAACUGAUUAGUAAGAAGAGAGUAGUAAAUAUAAUCUGCCAUUGAGAAAUUGGGUGAUUUUUUUUGUUGUCGUUAGGCCAAUGGGAAUAUUUAAAUAGACCUGGGAAGAAGCCAGGGUUGAAGAUAGGGAUAUUGAGAGUUGGGGCAGUUGGAGCCUUGAGAUGGAAUGAAAUUGCCAAAGUAUUUAGUAUCAAAUGUAUCUUUACCAAGAAUGUCACGUUGCAAAACCUGAAAAUCCUCUAGUUUUAGGACAGGAGUGCUCCAGAAGAGAGAGAGUAUUGUUUAAAGAACUCAAAUCAUUCUUUGAGCUUUUAUUUCUCUCUGGAAUUCUUUCAGUUUGACUCUCAUCUUGGGGAGAUAGUAAAAGCUAGUAGCUUUAAGCGUGCAAACGGAAAGAUAGGGUUUGAAUCCUUGUUCUGCCACCUACCUGCCAUGUAUCCUUGUCAGAGCUAUAGAUCUUCUUGUGCUUCAGUUUAUUCAUCUCUAAGAUGAAGGUGAUAAUGUGUACCUUAUAGGGUUGUUUCUGGAUUAUCCCAUCAUUUAGCCUGCUGCUUGGAGCAUACUAGGUGCUCCAUAAAUGGUAGCUAAUGUUAAUACUAGAUUCUUGCUGAUUCCCCUGCUUCUGAUCUUAAAGGGUACACUACUCCUUUUAACUCUGAAUUUGUACAGGCUUCCCCCUCCCAUUUUUUUCCACUCAGUGUAAUUGACACCAGCUGGAUUUUCACGGAGAAUUCUGCUAGUAUUAAUAGAGAACUACAGACAGACACAGACAGACAGACAGACAGACAGACAGACAGACAGACAGACAGACACACACACACACACACACACACACACGGAGUUCCCUGGUGGCUCGGGUUAAGGAUCUGGCGUUGUCACUGCUGUGACUCAGGUUGCUGUUAUGGUGCAGGUUCGUUCUCUGGCCUUGUUACAUCUGCAUGCCCCAGGUGCGGCCCAGAAGAAAAAAAAAGAAUAAAAAGGAAUAAUUAUUGUAAAUACAGAAAAAAAAA
ensembl:lncRNA